AACGUAAUAUGUCAAAUAAAAAUAAAGUUGGAUUUUUCCGAGGGUAAGUGAAGGAGGCAUAGGAGAAUAGCGACUCGAGCGCUAUGUCGCAUAAGGAAACAUCAGUGAUAUACGAGCUCUCGUUCAAUUAUGCUUUAAUAUAUCCUUCGGAAAAUAAUUUGGAAAAAUAUACGACUUUCAACUUGUAAAACAAUAUUACAUUUACGUUGAGAAAAUUACUGUUUCCUUUCGUGAAUGGUGGUAUUACGGUUUGAUUGACAAUUUGCUUGGCCAAUAGAGUAUCAGAUUUCGAUAUAUGAUGCAUUUCAUUGGUUGUUCGAACUUGACUUGUCGUUGGAGCGGCAACAAACGUUUUAUUGGUAUUUAAAAAUGUCAUAAAGUGCUCGUAAGGGGUUGCGAUUUCGAUGCCAAGCACAUCCUAAACUAGUGCACUACAAGUUCGACCACGUCACACACGUCUUAGUAGCUUGUGUAGCCAAAGCUAAAAUAAGCAAGAAGUUAGCUACUAUGUCAACUUGGCAUGCAAGAGUCGAAAGGGGACAGCACGUGAAGAACUCAAUAUGCCUCCAGCAUUGUCCUUUUGAGCAUCUCCUGUGUGGAUCCAAGGAUCAGCAUGGAAAAUGUGCUGGAGGAAUAUGGUUUUAUAAAGGUGUGGAACAAGCUGCAAGGGCUGCCAAAUGCCGAUCCCUGGGAAUUAGGGGCCUUCUUCGUGAUCGUCCUCUUUUCUAUCACAAUCCUUGGCAUGGCUCUGCUUUCUUGCUUCCAUUGCUGCUUUUGUGCGGACGCAAAAUAUCACGCUUCCAGAGUGCAACCACUGCGGCCCGUUUUACGAUAAAAAGGCUCAAAGACAAAGGAUUACGGUCCAUACAGAAAACAAGAAUGUUGACAGACUUUGUUUUCCAGCUUUUGAAUACAAACUGUUCACCUGCAGACAGCCAUGUGGGGAGUUCAUAUGCGUCAGACCGAAACAUACAAGUCUUUGGUGGAUAGUAAGGAAACAAGAAGAACUCAAAUCAUUCCAAAUUGUUAUUCAUCAAAAAAAGGAGACCAUAACAUCAUGGAAACCUUGCAUGUUGUAUAUGUACGUAUGUUGUUAUAAUGGUGUGUUAAGUUCCAUUUGAAAAUGGAUUGCCACUACUCAAGUCAUUAG